rnacentral:rRNA from 1 species
UAGGGAAUAUUGCAAAUGGGCGAAAGCCUGAUGUAGCAACGCCGCGUGUUCGGUGAAGGUCUUCGGAUUGUAAAGCACUUUUUGGAGGGUUGAGGAAGGACAGUACCUCCAGAAUAAGCCUCGGCUAACUACUUGCCAGCAGCCGCGGUAACACGUAUGAGUCAAGCGUUAUUCGGAUUUACUGGGCAUAAAGCGCUUGCAGGCGGUUUGGAAAG